rnacentral:rRNA from 1 species
UGGGGGAUAUUGCACAAUGGGCGAAAGCCUGAUGCAGCGACGCCGCGUGGGGGAUGAAGGCCUUCGGGUUGUAAACUUCUUUUGCUCUGAACAAGGCAUGCUAAUGGGUGUGUUGAGUGUAGGGGUUGAUUAGCGCCGGCUAACUACGUGCCAGCAGCCGCGGUAAUACGUAGGGCGCGAGCGUUGUCCGGAAUUAUUGGGCGUAAAGGGCUUGUAGGUGGCUGGUUGCGUCUGUCGUGAAAGCUCAUGGCUUAACUGUGGGUUUGCGGUGGGUACGGGCUGGCUUGAGUGCAGUAGGGGAGGCUGGAAUUCCUGGUGUAGCGGUGGAAUGCGCAUAUAUCAGGAGGAAUACCGGUGGCGAAGGCGGGUCUCUGGGCUGUUACUGACACUGAGGAGCGAAAGCAUGGGGAGCGAACAGG